GAGGGUAUAGCUCAAGUGGUAGAGCACAUGCUUAGCAUGCACAAAGUCCUGGGUUCAGUCCCCAGUACCGCCC
rnacentral:tRNA from 1 species